rnacentral:rRNA from 1 species
GACGAACGCUGGCGGCGUGCUUAACACAUGCAAGUCGAACGGAAAGGCCCUGCUUUUGUGGGGUGCUCGAGUGGCGAACGGGUGAGUAACACGUGAGUAACCUGCCCUUGACUUUGGGAUAACUUCAGGAAACUGGGGCAAUACCGGAUAGGAGCUCCUGCUGCAUGGUGGGGGUUGGAAAGUUUCGGCGGUUGGGGAUGGACUCGCGGCUUAUCAGCUUGUUGGUGGGGUAGUGGCUUACCAAGGCUUUGACGGGUAGCCGGCCUGAGAGGGUGACCGGCCACAUUGGGACUGCGAGACGGCCCAGACUCCUACGGGAGGCAGCAGUGGGGAAUAUUGCACAAUGGGUGGAAGCCUGAUGCAGCAACGCCGCGUGCGGGAUGACGGCCUUCGGGUUGUAAACCGCUUUCGCCUGUGACGAAGCGUGAGUGACGGUAAUGGGUAAAGAAGCACCGGCUAACUACGUG